rnacentral:rRNA from 1 species
ACGUAGGGUGCGAGCGUUAAUCGGAAUUACUGGGCGUAAAGCGUGCGCAGGCGGUUUCGUAAGACAGAGGUGAAAUCCCCGGGCUCAACCUGGGAACUGCCUUUGUGACUGCGAGGCUAGAGUAUGGCAGAGGGGGGUGGAAUUCCACGUGUAGCAGUGAAAUGCGUAGAGAUGUGGAGGAACACCGAUGGCGAAGGCAGCCCCCUGGGCCAAUACUGACGCUCAUGCACGAAAGCGUGGGGAGCAAACAGGA